UGCUUGUACGUAGCAAAACUCUUUCCAAUAGGAAAACUCUUGGUAUAAGUGGUUUCAGUGCACCGAUGCGCACCGAUAUCCUACGUGGCCGUUUAUUUAAACGGUGCGUUGGGAGUAAAAAGCAGGCGAGAAUGAAUUUUGUUUGGAACUGGGAAUGAAUUUCGCUCGAGUUUUGCUACAUACAAGCACGGUUGUGCACUAAUCUGUGCACCAACACUGAUUUAUUCAUACUUAAAAUUUAAAUUAACACUGUUUUCAAUAAAAUCUACUUUUUGACCAAUCACAUCACAUUAGUACACAGAUUAGUGCACAAUUAUGCUUGCAAGUAUACUUUUUCAUUUCGCUCGCAUCCCCCCGUCUGGUGUCCUCUCCCAGUUUUUGUCUAUCACUAGUCACUACCGCCGUGGAGUGCCUCUUCUCAAGUUAAACCCCUAUAUUUGGGUUCCGAACCCUAACCCAAAAGAGGAGUGUUGUUGCUGCUUCUUCUCCGUGAUUUACUGUACUUGACAGGUUCUCUCUCUCUCUCUCUCUCUCUCUUUUUCUCUCCAUUGCUUCAUACUUCAUCUUCUUCUUGGAUUCCAAAUACCCUGCGAACGGAAAUUCCUUGGCAGUUAAUCCGUUUCGCUGGGUAGCGGAGUAUGGAAUCUGAAGUCUCUAGUCCCUGUCCGAUUUUUCAUUUGGAAUCAACACCUGAAGGUGAGUUUCCGAUUUAAUUUUUUCUUCUUUUUGAAUCUCUAUAUUGCUGAAGUUUUAAUGAAGAUCGAGGAACAGUGGAGUAUGUAUUGUUUUUAAUCUAUGUUUAAUUACGAGAAGCUUGUAUUGCAGCUCUGUGGACUUAAUUCUGAUUCUUUUGAAAGGGGAAUAUUUCUGAUCUUGUGGAAAUGGCUGUUCAGGCAUAUUUUUCUAUUACUAAUUAUCAUGUAUUUACGAGGUUCAUAUUGGUAUCUAAAUGCUUGUACGCAUAGAAAUGAGAAGGAUAUGUGACUGAUUAUGAAGUCAUAUUGACUUGUAAAAAUUAACACUUUUUCCGGUCACAAAAGGCAGGGAAUGGGUGGAUUUGGUUGAAAAAGCCAAAAAUGGUAGUCUUUUGCUUUGGAAUUUACUUGUAGAGAGUGGUAUCUUUUUUUUUUUUUUUUAUAAGUAAUAAGAUAUUUCAUUGAUAUAAAGGUAGGCAUAGCCUAAGUACACUAGAGGUAUACGAAAGCAUACACCUGUUUAAGAAUUAGAAACCGUUACAAGGAAAUCAUGGAAGCUAAGACCAUUUAGAUCUAAAGCAAUGGCCCACAUAAACAAAUUCUUCCAAAAAAAGCUCCUAAACUCUUCCAAGGAACGCUCAUGAUCCUAAAAAAGUCUCUCAUUACAUUCACUCCAAAUACACCAAAGGAUACAAAUAGGGGCCAUCUUCCAUACAGCUGCAAUUUGUGGUGUCCCAGUGAGUCCUCUGCAAUAUGCCAAAAGAUCAACCACACGGCCAGCAUCACCCAUGCUAUUCCCACCUUGCUGAAAAAAUAGUUCUAGAUAUCUCUAGCAAACUCACAAUGUAAAAGUAGAUGAUCCGUCGUUUUCCCACUCUUACAACACAAACAGCACCAGUCCGUUAUUAUAAGGCCACGUCUUCUAAUAUUAUCAUUAGUCAAUAUCUUCCCUAGGGCUGCUGUCCAGACAAAAAAGGCAGCCUUGGUGGGUGCUUUACUCCAAAUUUCUUCCAAGGGAAAGAAUGUCCUUAUUGCCUGGUAAAAGAGUCAUAAAAAGAGCAUACUGUAAAUUUCCCAUUCCUAGAGGGUCUCCAAAUCAUCUCAUCUUCAGUUGUGGCAGCAAAAGGAAUGUUAUACAGCAAGUUAAAGAAAUCCACUAGAAUAUUCACUUUCUAGUCAUGUGCAUCCCGAGUAAGGCUGAUAUUCUACUCUUGUGAACCUUGGAGAAUUACCCGCAAAUCAGCCACCAUGGCUUCUAGUUCCCUUGCAAUGCUGAAACUAGAGGGGUAAGCAUCCAUCAAAGCCGUGUCUCCCACCCAGGUAUCCUUCCAAAAGCUAAUCCUCCUUCCAUCCCCCAAGCACAACCGAGUAUUACUAGCAAAAGAAUCCCAUCCUUUUCGUAUGAACUUCCAUAACCCCACUCCAUAGGACCCCCUUCCCUCUUUUGAGCACCAAACCUUCAUUUAACAACCAUAUAUCAAGUCAAUCACCCCUUUCCAUAAAGCUCCCAUCUCAUAGUUAUAACGUCACAACCAUUUACCUAGUAAUGCCCUAUUGAGAAAGGAUUGGGAGUUUUCAAUUCAUAAGUAGCAUACACUCAGGCUUCAUGCUUAUUAAUUGGCAUAACAUAUUUUUGCUAAGUGGUUUGGUUGUGCAAACCGAGCACUAGAUAUGCAAUCAUGUCUAUAGAUAGCGGAUAUGCGAUUAAAUUAACUGCUAAUGAUGAGGAGAAUUUACUAUGGGAUAUUUGACUUGAGUCUUGCCUCUAUUUUACUUGUCAUUUAAAAUUAGAAUUCCCGAGUUCAAGAUAUGAUUGAGAAAUGGUGACUCUCCUCUUUGUCACUCUCUCCCAACCUAUCCUAUCCUACCCAUGUUACCAAUAUAGAAAAGGAUGGUUGGGGUCUAUCACGAAUAGUUUCUGUGGGAGAUUGCCAUUGGAUUGUGUGCUAUUGUAAGCCAGUGUUGUCAAACAUUGUUCACAGCAAUGCACUUUUGUUUAGAAUGGAACAUGCACUUGCUGGGUCCAAUUAAUUGGUUCGUUCAUAUUAGUUUUUCUCUCUUCAAUUAGGUAUUAUUAAUCACACUUGUGGGGAUGUGUAUAUGUGAACUUGCAUUUGGUGGAAUUUCCCUUUUGGGACAGAGAAGUCUACUGACUACAUUAAAAGAAACCAGGAAAAUGUUUUUUUUUUCUCCCUGUUUUUUUUUCUAUUAACAUGCAACUUGAAGCUACUAAGUGUUUUAGUAGAAUUUCCCUUUGUUUUUUCAUGUUGGAGCAGGUAAGGAAGCCCUACACCAUUGUAAAACAAAGAGAAAAAUGGACAGAGGAUGAGCACCAGAAGUUUAUUGAAGCCUUAAGGCUUUUUGGUCGUGGUUGGUGUCAAAUCGAAGCACAUGUAGGCACCAAAACUGCAGUUCAAAUUCGAAGUCAUGCUCAAAAAUUCUUCUCUAAGGUGGUUUGGGCAUCCAGUAAAAGCAUUGAAAACUCCAUUAAUGAACCAGUUGAGAUACCUUCUCCAUAGCCAAAGAAGAAAAGCUCGCAUCAUUAUCCUCGUAAAUCGCUUGAUUCUCCUAAUGGAAUAUCAUUAACAAAUCAAACUGAGAGGUCUCCAUUGCCAUAUUUAUUGGUGGCCAAGGAAGGCACCAAAUCAACUUGCAGUUGUGAUGACAAAGUUGUGUAUUUUGUUGUAAUGGAUGUAGCCAGUUGUAUUUUGAUUUAAUGGACGCGUAGUAAUGUGUAUUUUGUUGUAAAGGACAUAGCCAUGUGUAUUUUGAUUUAAUGGACGUAGUCAUGUGUAUUUUUUUGUAAUGGAUGUAGCCAUGGCUAUUUUGAUUUAAUGGACGUAGUCGUGUAUUUUCUUCACUUUGAUUUAAUGGAUGUGCAG